rnacentral:rRNA from 1 species
UACGUAGGGGGCAAGCGUUGUCCGGAAUUAUUGGGCGUAAAGCGCGUGUAGGCGGUCCGCUAAGUCGGCUGUGAAAGUCCAGGGCUCAACCCUGGGAUGUCGGUCGAUACUGGCGGACUAGAGUCCGGAAGAGGCGAGUGGAAUUCCCGGUGUAGCGGUGAAAUGCGCAGAUAUCGGGAGGAACACCAAUGGCGAAGGCAGCUCGCUGGGACGGUACUGACGCUGAGGUGCGAAAGCGUGGGGAGCAAACAGG